GGACUGAGGGAUCGGCGGGUAGGCCAGGGAUGGAGGCGACUGUAGGGCUGCAGAGUUAAGGACCUCAGGGGCAAGGAUAGCCUUAGGCUUGCUUAUGGGUGGUGGGCCAUUUUAAUUGUUUUGAGAUAUGGUGUUUUAGUUGGUUUAGUUUUGUCUCCCUCGUUAUUUUUGGUCAGGUUUAGAUAAUGGAGCAAUCUUGUUCUGGCUGGCGGGAAAGGCUUAAGAGGCUGUCUUGUAUGUAUGUAUGUAUUUAUUUAUUUAUUUAUGCCUCACCUUUCUCCCCAGUGGGGACUUAAGGCAGCUCUUUUGUCCACCAUUUAUCCUCACAACACCUUGUGAGAUAGGUUAGGCCAAUAAAGUGUCACUAGCCCUAGGUUACGCAGCAAGCUUUCAUGGCCCGAGUGGGGAUUCGAACCUGGGUUUUCCAGAUACUGGCCUGGCAACCACUACAUCACACUGGCUUGAUGAGAGAGAUCUCUUCUUUCAAGACUGGGGAAAAGCUGAAACGUUGAAAGAGGGGGAAAAGAAUUAUGCUGUCGCCCAAAAUGGGAUCCUGGAUUUAUUGAGGAAUUCAGAAAUCUCUCCAGAAUGACCAAGAUCUCUGGAGCAUGCCAGCUUUAAGUUACUUCCCACUCAUCCAUUUACUUGAAAACUGGAGGACAAGUUUCUUUGCAAAAAGACAUCUUUGAAAUUGCUUGGUUUAGCAAGAACACGUGUAUAUUUGGGCAGGGUUCUGUCCAUGGUAUUCUGUAUGUUGCUUUUUCUUUGUUUGGAAUAAUAAAUGUAUAUUUUAACUUCGAAUGAAA